UGAAAGCAUUUCAUGGAUUCCCCUUAUUAUGCAAAAUUUUGAUAUACUUGUUUGUUAAAAUACAAUAAUAAUGAGUGCAGUAGUUUCUAUACAUCCCCAUAUAAUCAAUUCCAUUAUAAUGUAUUUGAAAGGACAGUCCAUGUCGCUUAACAAAAUCUUUGGUAGAUUAAGUAGCUCUGCUUGUAAAUUUACAGCCAUUGGAGUAAAAAAUGCGAAUCUCAAAUACUUGGUGUAGAUCACAAAGCACAGACAAUCAUUCAGAGUUUAUAAUGGCUGUAGUUCUUGCUCAGGAGCUGGUGCAUCAACAGGUUUAUAUGUACUCAAUGUUUGUUGUCUUCGCCUCCAAAUGAACCAUAUUCCAGAAGCUGAUAAUCCAAGAAUCAAUGUAAUAAUAACGGCUAAAACCACCAGCAAAUAAUGUUGCUUCCACCAGGCCCGAUUUGCUGGAGGCUCAAUUUUCCAUUGAACCAACUGAUAACUUCCAAAGGUAUCAGGAAGCAGCAUGUGAUGUUCAGCAACCCUGGAAAUUAUACUAAGAGCAGUAGCAUUAGAAAAGUGAUCAGCAGAUCCUGAAGGCACUAUGGACCAUGCAAUGAGUGAAUAAUUUCCUUUGGAAGUAAGUUUCAGUAAAUGGACCUGAAAUCAUGCAUGUGUAAUUAGGUUCCGUAAAAGAAGGAAAUGGAUAAAACAUAUAAAGAAAAAGCCUUUAUGAUAAAUAGUAUUAAUUAGAAAGACAAGGUUUAACCUCCCCUUUUCCUGGUCAAUAAGAUUUCAAUUUCAAUGACCGAGUGAAUAAUUGCACUAGUUUUAAUCAAAUGCAGAAAGAGACCUUUCAAUACAGUAGUUGUCUAACCUGUGAAGCAUUAACACCUAACUCCUGAGUGAUGAAUUCAAUAAGUUCCUUAGUGUGAAGCUUCAAAUCUGAUGAGUUGAUAUUCAUUGAAAUUUCAAAUGUUAUUUGUCCAAUUUGAAGCUCAUCUGUGCAUUAAAGUUAAUGAGAAACUUCAUCAGAAAGCAUCUCAAUCAAACCGUGAUAUCAGACUAUAGAGGCAACAUGAUUUGUUGAUGAUGCUAGUAAGUUGAUAAUAACUUCAGUAUCAAGUAGCUAGAUCUUGUCUCAACUUAAAAGUCAAGCUAAUAGAAUAUUAAGAGUACAUGAUUCAGACUUCAGGAUAACGCAUUUCCUACAAAUGUUCUUUAAUCUGUCUUUCAAAAUUGGCCUACUUCCACUAAUAUUUCUUUCCAUCAUUCACUCAUUUUUCUUUUACAUUGGCCAUGCCAAUAUUAUUGACAAAAGUUGGAUAACUUGAAAAGUCAUUACAGGAAACUUUUCAUUCUUCUUUUGUGAUCCAGUCACUGCUCACUGGAACUUGUGCACACACUAGGAUAUGUGAUCCUAGAACUCUAUCAUGAAAAGUCAUGAUACUUGAGCCAUUAGAACUAAAGUCUUGCAUAUCCAAUAUGCCUCUAACAUAAGAAUUCCUCAAAUAACAGAACCUGGAAGAGCAUAAUGCUGUUGGUCACUAGAAGUCAUCGUAGGUGGCAUUUCUGUAGUUGAGUUUGUUCCAUUUGAAGCUGAGAGCAAUGGUGCUGGGGCACCAGUUCUGCGAAGUCUUUCCCAUAACUCAGAACAAUUGGUCUUCCAGAAACCCAUCUUUGAAUUUUCACGAUCAUACAUCACAAGAGUAUUGCGGACAAGGAUUCCUUUUAUAAACAAACAUUUGCAACAAAAUCAUUAUUAGUAAAAUACAUCAGAAAGAAAUUUGGCAGGUAAAUGAUAGCACAAUUGAAAAGCGUAUUUAUUAAAAAAUCAUUGGAAUGCAUGCCAAAAUAAAGUUUCAUAUACCUCCGAGAAGAGUAGUUGGAUCAUGCCCAUUUUGGAAUAUCCCUAGACAGUAUGCACCACGAACUUUGGAAUGCUAAAAGAAAAUAAAAACAUAAAUGGAGAAGAAAUUAUUUCAUCAUAAUGUUUCAGCAAAAAAAGUAGUUGCAAUCGUCCUCCAUCCCAUAAAAAAUAAACUUCCUCGUCAUUAGGGCUUAAACUCAGGCCUAAUGGUAAAAAAAUCCUAAUGCAGGAAUUUACUAUUCUUAUUCAAUUCUUUUAAUUUCACCAAUUUAUUUAUUGCACUUUAAUACUUAAAUUGAUAUGAAUCAUGCUAUGAGGCUUGUGUGUAUGCUAAGCUACCACCCAAUUGGUAUGUUGACUCAGCUGGGCAGGCCAGGUAGGAUUUCAACUAUUAACUAGAGUCCAUCUGAAACUCUCAAACCCCCUAAAAUGCUGCCAUUUGGCGCGCGCGC
rnacentral:misc_RNA from 1 species